AGGUACCUAUAGCCUACGACGGGGUACGGGGUUGUNAGAGCAAGAGCCCGGAGAUGGAUUCUGAGACACGAAUCCAGGCCNUACGGGGUGCAGCAGGCGCGAAAACUUUACAAUGCGGGAAACCGUGAUAAGGGGAUCUCGAGUGCCAGCAUAUAAUGUUGGCUGUCCAGAUGCCUAAAAAGCAUCUGUUAGCAAGGGCCGGGCAAGACCGGUGCCAGCCGCCGCGGUAACACCGGCGGCCCGAGUGGUAACCGCUAUUAUUGGGUCUAAAGGGUCUGUAGCCGGCCAGGUAAGUCCCUUGGGAAAUCUGGCAGCUCAACUGUCAGGCUGCUAGGGGAUACUGUUUGGCUUGGGACCGGGAGAGGUGAGAGGUACCUUGGGGGUAGGGGUGAAAUCUUGUGAUCCCCGGGGGACCACCAGUGGCGAAGGCGUCUCACCAGAACGGGUCCGACGGUAAGGGACGAAAGCUAGGGGCACGAACCGGAUUAGAUACCCGGGUAGUCCUAGCCGUAAACGAUGCUCGCUAGGUGUCAGUCACGGUGCGACCGUGAUUGGUGCCGUAGGGAAGCCGUGAAGCGAGCCACCUGGGAAGUAUGGCCGCAAGGCUGAAACUUAAAGGAAUUGGCGGGGGAGCACUACAACGGGUGGAGCCUGCGGUUUAAUUGGAUUCAACGCCGGA
rnacentral:rRNA from 1 species